rnacentral:rRNA from 1 species
GAGUUUGAUCCUGGCUCAGGAUGAACGCUGGCGGCGUGCUUAACACAUGCAAGUCGAACGGGAAAUAUUUCAUUGAGACUUCGGUGGAUUUGAUCUAUUUCUAGUGGCGGACGGGUGAGUAACGCGUGGGUAACCUGCCUUAUACAGGGGGAUAACAGUCAGAAAUGACUGCUAAUACCGCAUAAGCGCACAGGACCGCAUGGUCCGGUGUGAAAAACUCCGGUGGUAUAAGAUGGACCCGCGUUGGAUUAGCUAGUUGGUGAGGUAACGGCCCACCAAGGCGACGAUCCAUAGCCGGCCUGAGAGGGUGAACGGCCACAUUGGGACUGAGACACGGCCCAGACUCCUACGGGAGGCAGCAGUGGGGAAUAUUGCACAAUGGGGGAAACCCUGAUGCAGCGACGCCGCGUGAAGGAAGAAGUAUCUCGGUAUGUAAACUUCUAUCAGCAGGGAAGAAAAUGACGGUACCUGACUAAGAAGCCCCGGCUAACUACGUGCCAGCCGCCGCGGUAAUUC